rnacentral:rRNA from 1 species
GACGAACGCUGGCGGCGUGCCUAAUACAUGCAAGUUGAGCGCUGAAGGUUGGUACUUGUACCAACUGGAUGAGCAGCGAACGGGUGAGUAACGCGUGGGGAAUCUGCCUUUGAGCGGGGGACAACAUUUGGAAACGAAUGCUAAUACCGCAUAAAAACUUUAAACACAAGUUUUAAGUUUGAAAGAUGCAAUUGCAUCACUCAAAGAUGAUCCCGCGUUGUAUUAGCUAGUUGGUGAGGUAAAGGCUCACCAAGGCGAUGAUACAUAGCCGACCUGAGAGGGUGAUCGGCCACAUUGGGACUGAGACACGGCCCAAACUCAUACGGGAGGCAGCAGUAGGGAAGCUUCGGCAAUGGACGAAAGUCUGACCGAGCAACGCCGCGUGAGUGAAGAAGGUUUUCGGAUCGUAAAAAUCUGUUGGUAGAGAAGAACGUUGGUGAGAGUGGAAAGCUCAUCAAGUGACGGUAACUACCCAGAAAGGGACGGCUAACUACGUG